rnacentral:lncRNA from 1 species
AUACAACAAGUAUAAAAUAUUUUUUUUAAAAAAAAUUUAAAAUAAUAUUAUAAUAUUUUAAUUUAAAAAAAUAUAUAGUGAUAAUUAGUGGUGGGAGCAUGAUUAGUUAGACUUAAUUUGGUAUUGAGGUCUAUCUAACGCAUAAAAUAGAGUUGUGAAAAAAACAUAUAUGAAUAUGUUUUUACGUUAUGAUUGUAAAAAAUACAUUAUAAUCGACUCAUUGCGAUGCCGAUAUGCUGAACGAAAUAUUAUGUACAAAAUUAAAUAAGAUAUUUUUUCAACGUACUUUCAUACCACAUAACUUAAUUUUUUCAUAAUUUUAAACAAAGCUUUAGG